rnacentral:lncRNA from 1 species
GUGCAAGCACAAAUUAAUGAACUGACUUCAUUCUUUAACCUUUUACGGUUUGUAUGUUCUGAAAGAAGUAGUGAGUGACUUCUUGUAUCUGACCAAUUGUUGGUGCUCCUGUGAAGUUCUGUAUUUCACUUUGCUCUUAAUAGCAAGAGCUCUUCUCCAGCCCACCCAUCAAGACACACUUCCAACUAUGGAUACUUCCCACUUUGCAGGUGACACUUGGUGGCUACUCCACUCUUCAAAGGCAGUCUGCAAACCCAAGAUACGCAUGGAAGUUGGCUUAUUUCUGCUACACCCACCUUCUCUUCGCCUGAGCUUCCAUAUCCCUCUACCAACAAAGCUCAGCAAUCCUUGAAACCUCUUGGCUGUGACAGAGACUCCCAGUGCACUUCGAAAGAAAAAGAGAAGACUACUUGUCAGGAUUCCACAAUUCUUGUGCCUUCUACAUCUCAAUCUACAUAUUGCCCUGGAGCCUGUCUGUUCAUCAGCUCAUGGACUUUCCGAUACUUGAAGGAUACAAGCCAACCCCUUUGUUGCUCCAACUUUUAG